CGAGGAUCGCCUGUCAACAAACAAGAAAAGAGUUCCUGAAGGUUUUAUAUUUUUCACUGAGGCUUCAGUCAACUCACAUUUGGUCACUGGCUUGCCUUCAUCAGAGUCAACAGGGACGAAGGAGCAUAUCAACUAUCCCAGACUUGGGACACAGUCCUGCAGGGCCGGUCAAGGCCGUUUGGUAGAUAUCCAGACGACGGGGGGGCGCCCCGCCCGCCCUACCCCAGGCACACACCAGGGGACACGGCCAUCCCACCACUUCAGGUGGGAUGGAACUAUCCAUAUAACACGUCACAGACAAGGUCACACUAACAUCAUGUGACACCUCUGAUGAAGGCUGCAGAAGCAAGGCAGUUGAAACUUGUCAGCACAAUACAGGUCCUGCAGUUGUAGGAGAUGUCUCAAAACCUCUUCACGAGUCCUGGCAAAACCUGAAAAUGGCAGAAAAGCACAAUACUGGUCCUGUAGUUGUGGGAAAUGUCUCAAAACCUCAUCAGGAGUCCUGACAAAACCCGAAAUGUCAAAAAAGGAAUGUGCUGUACUACGCUUCGGACGGUGAGACAUUUCCCGCUCGGGACAAGGUGCCGGCAGCAUGUCUGAUGUCCCCUCCCUGCGGAAAGGAAGGAACUCUUAAUCACGGUGGUCCCGACUGCAGGGCGCCUCUAUGGGAGAACGGUGCCCCCUGGUUACUGGCACUGGGUGUGUCUGACGAGUCCCCCCCCCCUCCUCAAGGGUCCCCAAGUGUUCUGGCAGGAGGUCAGCACCCGAACGCACGCAUCAAUGCGCACUAUUUUCAGACACGCGGGAAGGACGUUGGUGGGAAUAGAGGGGUGGGCGGGGGUCUUGACAGUCUCUUAUUUUCCAACGGGCAACAAAACAACAGACCGGUGUUAGCAACAGUAAUUUUCCAUCCAGCCGAAGUCACGAAGGGCCAUCCUUGUACCUUUCCUGUCUUGAGCCUAAUCAGGACGUAUUUCCCUGUGAAAUAACACCAGGAGAAUCUUAAAUCAUAAAGUGACACGACAUCCUCCACACUUCCCUGACUGCACAUCCUCACAGUUCAACAACUAUUUUAAGAAAUCAUUUUAAUAGAAUAGAAUGGACUUUAUUGUCAUUAUAUUUGCAUAUAAUGACAUUAAGGGCUCCAACUUAAGGUGCGGUAGUGGGGUAAAAAUAAAUAACACAAGAGGUAAUUAAGGAAAAACUAACAAUUGAAAU